rnacentral:rRNA from 1 species
GACGAACGCUGGCGGCGUGCUUAACACAUGCAAGUCGAACGGAAAGGCCCUGCUUGCAGGGUCCUCGAGUGGCGAACGGGUGAGUAACACGUGGGUGAUCUGCCCUGCACUUCGGGAUAAGCCUGGGAAACUGGGUCUAAUACCGGAUAGGAGCCAUUUUUAGUGUGAUGGUUGGAAAGUUUCUUCGGUGUAGGAUGAGCUCGCGGCCUAUCAGCUUGUUGGUGGGGUAAUGGCCUACCAAGGCGGCGACGGGUAGCCGGCCUGAGAGGGUGGACGGCCACAUUGGGACUGAGAUACGGCCCAGACGCCUACGGGAGGCAGCAGUGGGGAAUAUUGCACAAUGGGCGCAAGCCUGAUGCAGCGACGCCGCGUGGGGGAUGACGGCCUUCGGGUUGUAAACUCCUUUCGCUAGGGACGAAGCUUUUUGUGACGGUACCUAGAUAAGAAGCACCGGCUAACUACGUG